CUGAACAUUUACAUAAAUAAAGUCCCUCUGUGGGAUCUCAACAAGCCUCGAAGGGCUAUACAACAUAUGGAGAGUUGGUUUACUUAAACAUCAUAACAUAAAGAUCAUGUAAAGAUACAAAUGGGAUUAUCACAUACUAUGGUCAAGCACAGCUCUAUCCUCAAUAACAUUAAUACAUAAAAAGACUAAUCAACUAUACAUCAUUUUACAAAUUUGUCAUGUCCACAAUCUAUCUAUUACAA
rnacentral:lncRNA from 1 species